rnacentral:rRNA from 1 species
UGCGUAGGUGGCGAGCGUUGUCCGGAUUUACUGGGCGUAAAGGGAGCGUAGGCGGACUUUUAAGUGAGAUGUGAAAUACCCGGGCUCAACUUGGGUGCUGCAUUUCAAACUGGAAGUCUAGAGUGCAGGAGAGGAGAAUGGAAUUCCUAGUGUAGCGGUGAAAUGCGUAGAGAUUAGGAAGAACACCAGUGGCGAAGGCGAUUCUCUGGACUGUAACUGACGCUGAGGCUCGAAAGCGUGGGGAGCAAACAGGAUUAGAUA